AAGGUAAAAGUUAUACAAUUUUGAAGAGGGUUAGUUUUAGUUAGGCCACAUUUAUUGAAUACUAAUUCUCCCUAUGUGUUUAUAGCGCAGCCAACCUGAGUCCUGGGAUGCGCCUGAGGACUGGGAUCAGUCUUCCGUGCGGAUCCUUCCUCAUGAGGUUUGUACAUUGGUAUGAUAGCUGAAAGGAAAUUAAACCGUCAUGAUGCGUACAUUUGUUGUUUCAUUUAAAUGCUAUUCCUAUAAGACAAGGCAAAUGGUCAAUGGCUCAAUUCUGUUUUUUAUUUCUAGGUUUGUGUGCCUCCUCUGGUCCUGAGGGAGUGCUUUGUCGUGCUAAAUCCUAUCCGGUUUAGCACUGACAAGUUGGCUGCAAUGGAUCGCAUUGUUCCAUCCAACCUUGACGUCCCCAUGGGGAAUCGCUCAAAGGUAAUUUGUGUGAUUUUAAUAUUAACUGUUUGUGAGUUCUUACAUAUUAAUAGCGCCUGUAAUCCUAUAUGACAAGCUUUACAUUGUAUGGUACAGAUAGUUGCAUUAAUAAUAAAAGUGUUAUAUUUCAUUAACUGUUAUCAUUUCCGUUCUCUUCAAUUAUGAUAGAAACGGAAGGUGGCACAUGGAACCACGGCUGUGGUCUCCAAAGGAAAGAAGGCCCGCCUUGAGGCACUUCAAACUCCAGCAAGGAUUGCCAAACCGUCGAAGCUGGUACCUCCCCCUCGACCUGUGCCAGAAGCUGCUGUGCCAGCCACUCUGGAGGGCAGCGUCUUUGUGCAUUCAAGCAAGUUUGCUCAACCGGAGGGGGAUGACAAGACUCUGUGUGUUGAUGAGUGGCCGUUUCUUCAAACAGAGUUUUGUGAGAAGGUGA
rnacentral:lncRNA from 1 species